CAGAAGGGGUUGGUUUUUUGUUUUGUUUUGUUUUUGUUUUGUCCCUGGUUACCUGGUCAAAUAAGAGCCAGUGAUUUUUGCAGCUUGAGGACUGGAAUAUUAGAAUUGCUUCUAAUAUUAAAAAGUGAAGCCCAGAAGACAUCAUGGAAAUAAAACGUAUAAUGCUGCAGAGGAAGAGGAUCACAUGGAGGAAUCAUCUCUCACACUUUUUUAAAGUGCUAAAAGUCUUCUAAAACCCAAUAAGGAUCUUAUAACAUUUUCUCUGUGAUGUAUUCCAGGCUUUGAAGUUGCCAGAGAAACAUUUUGAAGCAAAGCUUUCCUUGGAAACUUUAUGGUCUUCUCAACUCUUUAUCAAAGGCCUGGAAAUAUCAUUCCUUAACCAUACUUAAAACUCUAGCCCCUUUGAAGAAAAAAGCAAAGAGAUACAUUUCUUUAUGUAUAUGUACAUAUACAUGAAUGCACAGUCUUCACAGUGGCUAAGUUUAUCCCCCGUUUUUCCUCUGGCAUGUUUAGCUGUUCUACUGUGAGAUAGGUUGGGCCUCAAAAAGGAACAAAUGCUCCAAAAACACCUAUUGAUCUACAAAUUUUUGUGGCUUCUACCAUACUAGAAUGCUUCUCCUUCCCUUUUAAAUGUGAGUUUAUGCAAAUGAAUAAAUCCUGUAUAUUCUACACAAUCUAGAACUUAUUGUUAUGAACAAAUCAUUUUCAUAAUAAUUAACUCCAUCUUUAUCUAGCAAGCUUUCCCAGCGUAUAUGCUAUACACACUAUUGAAGCCAACAUUAUUUACGGCAAAACUCAAACACACUCAAAUCUGUGUCUUAAUAUUUUUCAAAUGAUCCUGUCUCAAAGUUGAGAUUAGAAUGACCAAAUGUCAUUCUGAAAUGGGAAUGGCCUAUGAACUUUUAAAGCUCAGUUUAGUUCAGGAUAACAUACAGAACGUUUCCAAACAUUUUGCUGCUAUUCUAAUGUCUUGGCCUUCUUUCAGAAAAUUGAUUGCCUCUGCAGGUUUUAAAACCAUUAUCAAUGAAAAUAAAGCACACAAUAUGUACACCCCAAAAUAAAAUUUCUGCAACCCUCAGAGUUCUCCUGAGCCAUUUAUUAUUUUCUCCAGAACAUGAGUGAAACCAGUAUGGGUACCCAUUAGCAUUUAGAAUUGAAAUAUGGGAACC